CGCGGAAGUGGUAGCGCCGCCGCGCCGGGGGAUCGGCUGGGUUGGGUUGGGUUUAUUUUCUCUGCGCGUCUGGGGCGCGGUAGGCCCAUAGUGUCGCAGGUUGUUGCACUCGCCAAAUGAGAGGAUUUAGGGAUGUUGGGGCCUUUACGUUUCCCUAGCUAAUAAGUACUAUUGUAGUCAGCUUUGGCGAGAGCGAGAAGGGAGCGCAGCCCGCGAGGAGGCCGCACCCACCCUUGCCCGCACCCAGCCUCGCCCGCGGCUCCCGCCGGCCAGCUGCUGGGGCCCGCCUCGCGGUUGUUUCUGUGGGAGCAAGACUGCACCGCAGACAUUCGAGAGUGUACACAUCCCCAGACCUGACCUGUACAACUGCCUGCAGUUGCCUUUCCCUCUGCUCUCAAACUGGAGUGGUGAUGACUAGAAUAACCUUGGGCAGCAGAGCUACUGUCGGCCUGGGUCCCUGCAUGACUACAUGGAAGAGAGCUGCUUGCCAACCUGGACUAGCUUCUGCAGAAUGUCACAUGAGUGAGAAAUUUUUAUUUAUUUAUUGAUGAGAGACAGAAAGGCAGAGGGAGAAGCAGACUCCCCAC